rnacentral:rRNA from 1 species
AACGAACGCUGGCGGCAUGCCUAACACAUGCAAGUCGAACGAGACCUUCGGGUCUAGUGGCGCACGGGUGCGUAACGCGUGGGAACCUGCCCUUAGGUUCGGAAUAACUCCCCGAAAGGGGUGCUAAUACCGGAUAAUGUCUUCGGACCAAAGAUUUAUCGCCUUUGGAUGGGCCCGCGUUGGAUUAGCUAGUUGGUAGGGUAAAAGCCUACCAAGGCGACGAUCCAUAGCUGGUCUGAGAGGAUGAUCAGCCACACGGGGACUGAGACACGGCCCAGACGCCUAGGGGAGGCAGGCGUAGGGAAUCUUCCGCAAUGGGCGAAAGGCUGAGGGAGGGACGCAGCGUGAGUGAUGAAGGUCUUCGGAUCGUAAAAAUGUGUUAUUCGGGAAGAAAAAAUGGGUAAGUAACUAUGCACGGCUUGACGGUAGCUAAUCAGAAAGCCACGGCUAACUACGUG